rnacentral:rRNA from 1 species
GUGCAGCAGUCGCGAAACCUUCGCAAUGCAGGAAACUGCGACGAGGGAGCUCCAAGUGCCUACGCUCAGCGUAGGCUGUUCUCAAGCCUAGAAAAGCUUGAGGAGUAAGGGCUGGGUAAGACGGGUGCCAUCUGUGGUAGCAGUCAAUAGAUUCGAUUUGUUACUGCAAGGCAUAAGCCGCCGCGGUAAUACCCGCAGCCCAAGUGGUGGCCGCUUUUAUUGGGCCUAAAGCGUCCGUAGCCGGCCCGGUAAAUGCCCUGGGGUAAAAUCGUGGAGCCCCAACGUUCACGAAUUCCGGGUAGACUGCCGAGCUCGGGACC